UUUCCGUAGGUGAACCUGCGGAAGGAUCAUUACUGAGUGAGGGCCCCUCGGGGUCCAACCUCCCACCCGUGUUUAACGAACCUUGUUGCUUCGGCGGGCCCGCCUCACGGCCGCCGGGGGGCAUCUGCCCCCGGGCCCGCGCCCGCCGAAGCUACCUGUGAACGCUGUCUGAAGUAUGCAGUCUGAGACAAUUAUUAAAUUAAUUAAAACUUUCAACAACGGAUCUCUUGGUUCCG
rnacentral:misc_RNA from 1 species